CCGUCGCUAUAUAACGCGCGCGCAGGCCUGUCCUCAGCCUUUCUGCCUGUGGUGGUGCUGCGUUGCGGUCGUCUACUGCGGCCCUACGGUUUAAGAUGCAUCAGUUACACUUUCCCUCUUACAACUUCAAAACAGGUCUGCCACUGAAUAUGGAAACUUGCUGCUGCUUCAAGGUUUCAAAUUGUGCAUUUAGAAGACUUUCAGAAGAAACCUUACCUGGUGCUGGAAGAUGAAACUAUAAGCUGUGCAAGGCUACCCUGGACACAGGAGAGCUCUGCCUGCAGAGUGAGAAUGUAUUUCACCUGCUACUGAUGUUGAAGACAAAGCCUUCCUAAUUGAAGGCUUCCAAAGUGUUUCUCAUUGUGAUGGCUGGUGCCCUGCAUCUGUGAAGCUCUGCAGUUGGUGCUACCAUCAGAGAGCAAAGCGUGUGGGGAGUUUGUGUGAGAAACAAGACUCAUAUCUGAGUGGGAAUACUAAAGGAGCCGAAUCGGUGACAACCACAUAGCCAGUACAGUGUUGAUUUACUAGAGCAGAAUGAUCAACAGCAAACAUAACUCAUAUAACUCUUAUCUAAUCUUUCUGGCUGUGCAUAAGACUACACUCUUGAAGAAAACGGGAGAACACCAACCCAAUAUGCUGUGGCUGUCACUGUUGGGUAACUUUUGCUCAUGCAGUUACAUUGGCUCUAUGCAAAUGUAGGAUCCAAGUUCUAGAUAAUUGCUGUACAAACUUGUUUCCUCCAGCAGACUGGUUUUCACUCUUAAAUUAAAACAAAUUUUUUGGGAUGAUUUCUGUGGGACUUGUGUUUUAGGUAUCAAAACUUGCAGAAUACAAUUUUGUGUUGGGAGGUACAGUAUCACAAAGCAAAUAAUACCUUUUUGCUUUUCCCCAGAUUCUCCCAAUGUUAGUAACUCUGUAUUUCCAGUUCAGUUAGUAUUAGCAAGCUGUGUGUAUUGUGUUUGGGUACUGGAAGCUGAAGUCCUUGUCAGUUGCCAGCUGAAAUGCAGCCUCCUUGUAAGCAAAAUUGAGUUUGGUAAAGAGAAUUUCAUAGCUAAGUAAUAAAACUUGCAUACAGUGGUUUUAUUAUUCUGAAGCCCCUUUUUUUCUUUCUCAGGAAAGGAUUGUACUGUCUGCAGCCUCAAUGGGUGAGGACUCAAGUUUGAAACUACUGCAUGAAGAAACCAAGAAGGUGGAGGAUUGCAGAAUAAUGGGUUCCACUUGGCAUGAACAGCAUUAAAAAAGCCAAGGGUUGGGUUUUUUUACCACACUGGUAAAGUACUGAUUGGAACUAAUAAAAAUUUGUAAACUAUG